ACCCAGACUCCUUACCCAUCAGAUCUGAACUUUGAUUUGAGUGACUAUAAAUGGAAGAAAAGUAAAUCUGACAUGGACUUGAAAUCUUUAGUGAUAUACAAGUUCAUUUUAAACAAUG
rnacentral:snoRNA from 1 species